GAUGAACGCUAGCUACAGGCUUAACACAUGCAAGUCGAGGGGUAACGAGAGGAAAGCUUGCUUUCCUUGUCGACGACCGGCGCACGGGUGAGUAACGCGUAUCCAACCUGCCCCCAACUAAGGAAUAACCUUGCGAAAGUAAGACUAAUACCUUAUAAUUUCCUCAGAUGUCAUCUGACGAGGAAUAAAGAUUUAUCGGUUGUGGAUGGGGAUGCGUCUAAUUAGCUUGUUGGCGGGGUAACGGCCCACCAAGGCAACGAUUAGUAGGGGUUCUGAGAGGAAGGUCCCCCACAUUGGAACUGAGACAUGGUCCAAACUCCUACGGGAGGCAGCAGUGAGGAAUAUUGGUCAAUGGGCGGAAGCCUGAACCAGCCAAGUAGCGUGCAGGAUGACGGCCCUAUGGGUUGUAAACUGCUUUUAUACAGGAAUAAAGUUAGCCACGUGUGGUUAUUUGUAGGUACUGUAUGAAUAAGGACCGGCUAAUUCCGUGCCAGCCGCCGCAGUAA
rnacentral:rRNA from 1 species